ACAUGUGUAUAGAAUAACAUUAAUGCACCAGAUCUCAUUAGAACUCCACAAUUAAGCACGCUUGGGAUAGAGUAGUAUUGUGAUGGGUGACCUCCUGGUAACUCAUAGUGUUUUAUAUACC
rnacentral:rRNA from 1 species